GUGUCUAUAGGAAGAAAUGUAAUACGUUGUGAUGAUGUUGUUCUUUGUCUGAAUCCUUUAGAAUUAAAAAAUAUGUUGAAAAAAAAAAAUUUCAAAUUGAAAACAAAAAGGUUUUAAUAAAACAUUUAAAUAGUUUUCGCUGUAAGAGGAUUAAAAUAACAAAUGUAUGUUACAAAAAGAAUGUUCUCCCCUUAUCUCAAUCACUGGAGUCAUUAAUGCUAGUUAAACAGAAUGAGAAGAAUAAAAUUAUUUCUUUAUUAUAUGACCAUAAUAUAUUUUCCCAAAUGGGCUUAAAUAGUUCGACAGAGAAGACUUCUACACAUGAAAUUUUGUAUGAAACGAGAUUGCGAUUUAUGAGCUCCGAAACGAAGGAUGAAAAAUGUGUUGAAGAAAUAAACACUUUUCUUCAAGACAUUUUAAAAUUGAAAGAAGGUCCUGAUUUGGUAAUAAAAAAAAAAAAAAAAAUAAUCUUUUGCAUUAUACAUAUAUAUAUAUACAAUGUU
rnacentral:lncRNA from 1 species